CCUACGGGGGGCUGCAGUGGGGAAUAUUGGACAAUGGGGGCAACCCUGAUCCAGCCAUGCCGCGUGUGUGAAGAAGGCCCUCGGGUUGUAAAGCACUUUCAGUGAGGAAGAACGCCUGGUGGUUAAUACCCAUCAGGAAAGACAUCACUCACAGAAGAAGCACCGGCUAACUCCGUGCCAGCAGCCGCGGUAAUACGGAGGGGGCGAGCGUUAAUCGGAAUUACUGGGCGUAAAGCGCGCGUAGGUGGCUUGAUAAGCCGGUUGUGAAAGCCCCGGGCUCAACCUGGGAACGGCAUCCGGAACUGUCAAGCUAGAGUGCAGGAGAGGAAGGUAGAAUUCCCGGUGUAGCGGUGAAAUGCGUAGAGAUCGGGAGGAAUACCAGUGGCGAAGGCGGCCUUCUGGACUGACACUGACACUGAGGUGCGAAAGCGUGGGUAGCAAACAGGAUUAGAUACCCUAGUAGUC
rnacentral:rRNA from 1 species